GCAGGUCAACAGGAAUAUUGUGUCUGGGACUGGGAGCUGGAGUUAAGGAUGUUUCACAAUUCAAAUUUCACAAGUUGUGCCUGUUAAUUCUUCCAACAUGCUCUGGCCAUGACCAAAGUUACUUCCUCCCUAAUUCGAUGUUAGGUAACAAUGUGCUAUUUACAGUUCAUUUGUUUUCUCUAUCUUCUGUAAAGUCCAGAUGCUCUAGGAUUCUGAAAAGAAAUGGUCAGAUGUGAACUAAAAUUUCAUACUAGGCUCUGAAAUCUAAUCUAUUUGUUUGCCAAUGCUUUAAUCUGUUUGAAACCAUAGUGACAUGUCUUGAGUUUUACUCUCUAUGAUUACUACACCUGUUAUCUAGUUUCUAAAGUGUCUUCUGAUACAUGAUAAUGGAACUAGAAGAACUAAACUCUGCAAAACUGUCACAGUAGCAACCUUUUGUUCUUUUCAGAUCGUGUGUGUGUGUGUGUGUGUGUGAGAGAGAGAGAGAGAGAGAGAGAGAGAGAGAGAGCAUGUGUGCUGAUGAGGGGGUAUAAUCUGCUGUUGCAUGUCAUACAACACCAUAGUUUUUUAGAGCCAGAUUUACUAAUGCAAUCAACAUGCACUGAGAAAGAACCCAUUUUAUGCAUUGAGAAAGAUUAGAUGAAGUAAAAAACCUGGAUGCAGUUGUUCUUGUUCUUCUGUUGCUUCCAAGUUGAGAUCAAAAGCUCCCAAGUUGAGAUCAAAAGAAUGUACAACUUGAUCAUUUCCAUGGCAAGCAACUCGAGCAAGGUCAUCUACCUGGAUAACAUACCUUCCAGGAACUUCUUCUUCUAGAUUGGCUUGUGCUUCAUUGAGGUCAGGAUGAUGGAUGAAGUGAUAAAAGGCUUGUAACUGCCUCGCUGCUUGAGGAUUAUGGAGGGUACCCUUGGGUGGCAAAGCACCAUCCAUGGAGUUUUUGAAUUUGAUUAGACCGGUUGGAUUCUUUUAAGCCCUUAUGUUUUGGCGCCAUAUCACUCGAAUUAGGUGUAUAACACCAAUCUGUAGUGUUGAUACUAGUAGUAGCACCCAGCAUUAAUUGGAUGCUUCAAAUAUUCCUUUUGUACAGAUGUGGCAGUGUACUUGUCGUACUCCUACUAAGCAUUCAAAUGAUU